rnacentral:rRNA from 1 species
GAUGAACGCUGGCGGCGUGCUUAACACAUGCAAGUCGAACGGAAAGGCUCCUGCUUGCAGGGGUACUCGAGUGGCGAACGGGUGAGUAACACGUGGGUGAUCUGCCCUGCACUUCGGGAUAAGCCUGGGAAACUGGGUCUAAUACCGGAUAGGACCACAUUUUGGAUGGUGUGGUGGAAAGUUUUUCGGUGUGGGAUGAGCUCGCUGCCUAUCAGCUUGUUGGUGGGGUAAUGGCCUACCAAGGCGUCGACGGGUAGCCGGCCUGAGAGGGUGUACGGCCACAUUGGGACCGAGGUACGGCCCAGACGCCUACGGGAGGCAGCAGUGGGGAAUAUUGAACAAUGGGCGCAAGCCUGAUGCAGCGACGCCGCGGGGGGGAUGACGGCCUUCGGGUUGUAAACUCCUUUCGCUAGGGACGAAGCGUUUUUGUGACGGUACCUGGAGAAGAAGCACCGGCUAACUACGU